GUUUUUUUUUUUUUUACUGCUCGGCAAUAAAAACAAGAGGAUAAAACAUCUCCAUCCGCUGGCACCAAAUCUCUGUAGCGUGGUCUUUGGAAUAAUUAUCAGGCGCAAUAUAUACAGUCAAAUCUCAGAGAGUACUGCAGCUGAAACUGAAGAAGAAAGCCAUGGUGACUGUGAAGAGGGGUUUGUGUUGUUGAAUGUGUGGAAAACAAUGAAAAGGAAGAAAAUCCUACUGUUACAAAUGAUAUCACAACCGAGGAUGAUGUAACCUCCCUGAACUGGAAAACUUGAACAGGGACAACAGUGAUCUGAACAAUGGAGAACAAAUGGACCAAUCUGAAGAUGAACCGUUGUAUCCAGAAGCACCACUUACAAAAGGACAAAGUUUAUUGUUACUGAUGUCAUAUGUGCUCGGCACAGUCUUAAUGACCAGGCACUGAAUCACUUGCUUCAGUUUUUCAAUUUACAUUUUCCAGGCCUAGCACCUUUCUCACAAAGCUUUUGGUAGUAAUUCAGAAUAUGAGGUUUACUUUUAUUGUAAGUGCUGUGUACUAAGUACCUGGGGACUAGAGAGAGCUCUCCUUUACACUGUGGCUCAUGUAACACAGCGUUUGAUGCAGGUUCAAAUCUCACUGGUUGUUUUUUUUCUUGUGCCCUUAGCUUACCAGAUUAAACAGCUUCUUGAGGAACAUGACAUUAGCUUUUCUGAAAAACUAACAAACACUGAUGAUUUGUGUGAUAUACAGUGUGUGGAGCAGUACAGGAAGCUGUGUGAUAAUGGAAUUUUGGGGAAAGAUGACUUGACUCUCAUGUGGAAUUGUGAUGGGGUUCCAGUUUUCAAAAGCUCCAAGUGUCAAAUUUGGCCUAUACAGUGUCAAAUUAUUGUGUUAAAACCAGAAGAGCGAAAGCAGCACAUUUUAAUGAAUACUUUAUGGUUUGGACCUCAAAAGCCUAACAUGUUCACAUUUUUGACACCAUUUACCAAUGAAGCAUUGCAUUUAGAAACAAGCGGGAUUUGCUGGAAAGAUAACAAGGGGACACUCACAACUUAAAAGUGUAUGUCCUUCUCUGUAGUGCAGAUUCAGUUGCCCGACCUAUGCUUCGCAACAGAAAGCAAUUCAAUGGUUUUGAUGGAUGUGAUUUUUGCUACCAUGAAGGUAGAACAUACCCAUACAAUAAACCUGAGCCUGCCCUUAGACAUGAAAAGGAUUUUUGUCAUGCUGUGUCAGCUUCAGUAGCCAGUGUUUGGAGUUAAAGGGUCAUCUCUUUUAAUGAAACGUAGCCAGUUCAAAAUGAUCAGUGGAUUUGUUCCAGAAUAUUAACAUAGCGUGUACCUCGGAGUAACUCACCAGC